GCACUACCAAUAUACUGAACUAUGACUUAAAUUAUUUGGCAAACUUCAUGAGUGAGUUGAGAUUGAAGGUUAUUACUGGCUAUUGAUGUGAUGGCACCUAUGAUGGCAAACUUCACGAGUGACCAAAUAUCAGGUGGACCAGGAUCUGAGGGCUUUGUUCUAUUUGUCGGUCACCCUUGCCUUGGCACUAGCCGUGCAAUGGAAGAGGGGUGUGGUUUUGGGUUUGGUUGUGCUUUCAAGAUCCGUUGAUGUUGUACCUGCUGUGGAACUUUGACGUGUCUAUUGUCUGUUGCCGUUCUUAGGGUCUGCUCUUCUCUGGACCACGGUUCAAUAGAAAUAACUCAUGCAUUGCUAAUUCCCUACUUGAAGGCUACUGCUGUGAAGGCACCUGUCAUGGAAAACUUCACGAGUGAGCAAAUAUCAGCACCCAUCCUCAUAGAACCAUCAUUAGAAUGAGCAAAGCGCCACUUCAUUUAGAGAAGAAAGGAAGGAGAAGAAUGGCUCUAUUCCUUGAUGCUGAAGUCCUUGAAGUAAUUACAUGAAGGUGAGGGAGUACAUUCCAAUCGCUUGCGCGGGAGAGGCUGUAUGCUCAUGCUAUUUGUUUCUUGGCUUUUGUGUUGUUGCUACCUGUAUCUGUUGUAUUACUAUGGUGGACUGUGAGAUGUAUGUCGCUGGUUGUGUCUA